rnacentral:tRNA from 1 species
GGCGCUGUGGCUCAAAGGAGUAGGGCGCCAGCCCCAUGUGCCGGAGGUAGCAGGUUCAAACCCAGCCGUGGCCA